rnacentral:misc_RNA from 1 species
GAUGAAGAACGUAGCGAAAUGCGAUAAGUAAUGUGAAUUGCAGAAUUCAGUGAAUCAUCGAAUCUUUGAACGCACAUUGCGCCCGCCAGUAUUCUGGCGGGCAUGCCUGUUCGAGCGUCAUUUCAACCAUCAAGCCCCAGGCUUGUGUUGGAGCCCUGCGGCUGCCGCAGCCUCCCAAAACCAGUGGCGGGCUCGCUGUCACACCGGGCGUAGUAGAUUUUAUCUCGCUCAGGGCGUGCUGCGGGUUCCGGCCGUUAAAAAGCCUUUUUUACCCAAGGUUGACCUCGGAUCAGGUAGGAAUACCCGCUGAACUUAAGCAUAUCAAUAACGGAGGA